rnacentral:rRNA from 1 species
UAAAGAUUUUAAGGGCGUACGGUGGAUGCCUUGGCGAUAUCAGCCGAAGAAGGACGCGGUAAGCUGCGAUAAGCUACGGAGAGGUGCAAGCAACCUGUGACCCGUAGAUAUCCGAAUGGGGGAACCCGGCAGUGGUUAUGCACUGUCAACCAUCGCUUCGACUAUGAGGAGGGCACCCGGGGAACUGAAACAUCUAAUUACCCGGAGGAAAAGUAAUCAAACGAGAUUUUCUUAGUAGCGGCGAGCGAAAUGGAAAGAGGCCAAACCGGAGCGGGCAACCGCACCGGGGUUGAGGACAGUCAUCAAGUGUAAAUGAGGUAGAAGAAUCGAGUUGGAAAGCUCAGCCGCAGAAGGUGAAAGCCCUGUAAUCGAAACCUUGCAUACAUGGGACUGUAUCCAGAGUACCACGAGACACGUGAAACCUUGUGGGAAGCAGGGGGGACCACCCUCCAAGCCAAAAUACUGAUAUCGACCGAUAGCGCAUAGUACCGUGAGGGAAAGGUGAAAAGAACCCCUGGCGGGGAGUGAAAGAGAACCUGAAACCGUAUGUCUACAAACAGUCGAAGUCUGUAUAUAUAUCAGGACGACGGCGUGCCUAUUGAAGAAUGAACCGACGAGUUACUGUUGCUAGCGAGGUUAAGUGGAAAACAUGGAGCCGCAGCGAAAGCGAGUCUGAACAGGGCGUUCAGUUAGUGAUAGUAGACCCGAAACCGUAGUGAUCUAUCCAUGGCCAGGUUGAAGCACAGGUAAAAUUGUGUGGAGGACCGAACUCGUGAGCGUUGAAAAGCUUUGGGAUGAGUUGUGGAUAGGGGUGAAAUGCCAAUCGAACGCGGAGAUAGCUGGUUCUCCCCGAAAUAGCUUUAGGGCUAGCCUCGAGGUUGAGAGUAUAGGCGGUAGAGCACUGAUCGGGCUAGGGGCCAUACCGGUUACCGAACCUAGUCAAACUACGAAUGGCUAUACUUAUACUCGGGAGUCAGACAGUGAAUGAUAAGGUCCAUUGUCAAGAGGGAAACAGCCCAGAACACCGACUAAGGUCCCAAAUGUUACACUAAGUGGCGAAGGAUGUGGAAUUUCCAAAACAACCAGGAUGUUGGCUUAGAAGCAGCCACCAUUUAAAGAGUGCGUAAUAGCUCACUGGUCGAGAGACUCUGCGCCGAAAAUGUCCGGGGCUAAAGUGUAAAACCGAAGUCGUGUCAUAUGCAGCAAUGUAUAUGGGUAGGGGAGCGUUCUCAUCGGGCUGAAGCAGUACCGUAAGGAGUUGUGGACUGAUGAGAAGUGAGAAUGUCGGUAUGAGUAGCGAAAAGAAUGGUGAGAAUCCAUUCCACCGAAAGCCUAAGGGUUCCUGAGCAACGAUCGUCGUCUCAGGGUAAGUCGGGACCUAAGCCGAGGCGGAAAAGCGUAGGCGAUGGACAACAGGUUGAAAUUCCUGUACCGGUGUGAAUCGUUUGAUCGAUGGAGUGACACAGUAAGGUAGGUCAGCACGCGAUUGGAAGAGCGUGUUUAAGCAGGUAGGUUGAGCUAUAGGCAAAUCCGUAGCUCUAAAAGCUGAGAUGUGAUGACGAGCUGUUUACAGCGAAGUGAUUGAUCCUACACUGUCGAGAAAAGCUUCUAGGUAGAGACACAUCGCCCGUACCAAAACCGACACAGGUAGGCGGGGAGAGAAUCCUAAGGUGCGCGGGAAAACCCUCGUUAAGGAACUCGGCAAAAUGCCUCCGUAACUUCGGGAAAAGGAGGACUCAUGUAGUGUGAAGAGCAGAAGCGCUUGGAGCAUGAAUGAGUGGCACAAGAGAGGCGCAAGCGACUGUUUACCAUAAACACAGGUGCCUGCUAAAGCGAAAGCUGACGUAUAGGUGCUGACACCUGCCCGGUGCUGGAAGGUUAAGAGGAGGGGUUAGACUUCGGUCGAAGCUCUGAAUUGAAGCCCCAGUAAACGGCGGCCGUAACUAUAACGGUCCUAAGGUAGCGAAAUUCCUUGUCGGGUAAGUUCC